rnacentral:lncRNA from 1 species
CACCGCAGCGGUCAUGUCAUUUUUCAUCACCGAAUCCCCAACGGUCAGAGGAUCAGUAGGGGAUAUGAGGGACGGGCGCCAUAUGUUGUCUGGAGAAGGAGGGGCUGCUCUUUCACCAAGGUUCAAGUCAAAACGACGGUCGGAAGGGCCAUACAUUUUUCAGAGGUGUUAAAGAAAGAGGAGAUCGGACAAGUCAAGAUCGUAGAAGUGCAAAACGGGAGUUUUUAUAGGCAGAAAU